rnacentral:pre_miRNA from 1 species
UACUGCAGGCAGUGGCAAUUAUGUAUAGUUAAAAAUGAUUGGUAUGUCUGUGGGUAGA